rnacentral:lncRNA from 1 species
GAAAAUUUUAGUAAAUUAUAGUCAAUUUUUAUGCAAUGAAACUAUAUAGCUCUUUUUGUUAGAAAUUGUCUUACUAACUAAGCUGCUGGUGGUUCUGUGACGAAGUAGCUCCUGUUGGCUUCCCUUACACCGGGUCAGACACAGGACAUUAAUUAAGGCUGUGUGUGGUGUUUCUGAAAGGUGAGGAGACUGGGCAUUCUGUCUUUUACUCUACAGAUACAUCGUGGGAGACUCAAAGAUUAAAAUGUGGCCACUCACUGUGGAUCAGAAGCAGAAUCUCACAUCAUAACCCCAAAUGACCUGUUACUCACCAUGUGGCCCAGCUGUCUUCAAACUCACCAGCCUCCUGCCUUAGCCUUCUAAAUGCUUGGAUUACAGGCAUGACCCACCAUAACUGGCUUUGUUUUAGUUUCAGAGAAGAUGAAACUGAUGUGCGUCAAAAAGCUGGUAGUCUGUCAAGGAAAUGAGCUGAACAUGUCUGUGUACAGCUUUUGUGCCAUCCCUGGAUGAGCGAGCUGUCUGCCUCUAUGUUCUCCACAAAAUGGAAUAUAGCUGUACACCCAAGCCAAGUUAUGGAGGCUGGGAAGACCUAGAAUGUGGCAUCACUAUUUGCUGAAAUUUUUAAUAUAAUGCCUCUUAGCCUGGUUUGGAGAAAACGUCACAGAGAGGCACCAUUUGUUGUGGUUUUACAUGAAAAUUUUCUGACCCUGAACCUGGUUUGAUGGAAAUCAUUUGCUGAGGAAACCAUGCCGAUUACCGACCGAGCUCUCAAUGGAAAAAUGCAGUCGGCGUGAACCACGCACGAACACAGCAGAGAAAGAAGAAAACACACACCACGAGGAACCCUAAUAGGACAAUACAUUAUAAGUCACAGUGCUACGGAGAAACCCAGUAGCCACAUGGAAGCAGAGACCAUGCAUAUGCAUCUACUCCGCAGCUCUGUGAAUGUCAGCAGCUCCCACGGACUGGAGAUCCCGUGAGAUCCCGUGAGAUCUCACCCAUAGCCUCAUGGUACAUCCACUUGGUGUGCUGGGAGAGUCAGGAUGAGGACCUGAGAAGAACAGCAGCUUGAACCUGACUUCAUUUAACAGCCCACUGCCCUCUUGCCAAGAACCCAUCACAGACCUUCCCAGAAGAGAGGGAUGAGCCUCACCUAUGAAUAAGUCCUCAGAAACUCAAAUUUGAUUCUAAUGGAUUGUUUUCUCAGAAAGACUGAGCAUGUCCCCCCACAUCUCUGUCAUUUCCCACAGUAGUAACCUCUGCAGAUGCCACAUAGAAAACAAAACAAAACAAAAAAACAUGAGGUUGGUGGGCAGAUAGGCAGGGUAUAAACAAACAGCCUUGUAACCCAGAAGCUGUGUGAUAUACAGUAAACUUCACAACACUGAAAAGAUGUCCUAUCUGUUAAAAUGGGGUAAUAACAACUACCCGAAUGUUUAGGAAUAGAACUUCAAUAAAUGAUACAUUUUAUAGUACAGCAGACCAUCCUGUAAAGGUUUCAUCCUUCACUGUGGUGAUAAAUAUCCCAAACCACAUUGAAAAGCAUUGCAUCUACAUUUAUCUACACUGUAACUGUACUGUAAAUCAUGGGGGAGGGGAGAAUCAUAAAAACACCACCUGUCACCGUGUCAUUAAAGCAAGUUGGAAGUGAUACUUACAGAAACACAGCAAGAGCACCCCCAGUCACACAGUUCAAUCUCUUAGCAAGCGUUUUCUUUCUAGCCCAGUGGUUCUCAGUUUGGAAUUUUUGGCACUGCCUAGAGAUAGUUUUGUUGUUAAAACUGAGAAAAGAGCCGGGCGUGGUGGCACACGCCUUUAAUCCCAGCACUCAGGAGGCAGAGGCAGG